rnacentral:rRNA from 1 species
UACGUAGGGGGGCAAGCGUUGUCCGGAAUCAUUGGGCGUAAAGAGCGUGUAGGCGGCCUGGUAAGUCCGCUGUGAAAGUCCAGGGCUCAACCCUGGAAUGCCGGUGGAAACUGUCAGGCUCGAGUCCGGAAGAGGCGAGUGGAAUUCCUGGUGUAGCGGUGAAAUGCGCAGAUAUCAGGAAGAACACCCGUGGCGAAGGCGGCUCUCUGGGACGGUACUGACGCUGAGACGCGAAAGCGUGGGGAGCGAACAGG